UACGUAGGGGGCAAGCGUUGUCCGGAUUUAUUGGGCGUAAAGAGCGUGUAGGCGGCCAGGUAGGUCCGUUGUGAAAACUCGAGGCUCAACCUCGAGAUGUCGGCGGAAACCACUUGGCUAGAGUCCGGAAGAGGAGAGUGGAAUUCCUGGUGUAGCGGUGAAAUGCGCAGAUAUCAGGAAGAACACCUAUGGCGAAGGCAGCUCUCUGGGACGGUACUGACGCUGAGACGCGAAAGCGUGGGAGCGAACAGG
rnacentral:rRNA from 1 species